rnacentral:rRNA from 1 species
UACGGAAGGCAGCAGUGGGGAAUAUUGCACAAUGGGCGCAAGCCUGAUGCAGCCAUGCCGCGUGUAUGAAGAAGGCCUUCGGGUUGUAAAGUACUUUCAGUCGUGAGGAAGGUGUUAAGGUUAAUAACCUUAGCAAUUGACGUUAGCGACAGAAGAAGCACCGGCUAACUCCGUGCCAGCAGCCGCGGUAAUACGGAGGGUGCGAGCGUUAAUCGGAAUUACUGGGCGUAAAGGGCACGCAGGCGGUUAAUUAAGUUGGAUGUGAAAUCCCCGGGCUUAACCUGGGAAUGGCAUUCAAGACUGGUUAGCUAGAGUCUUGUAGAGGGGGUUAGAAUUCCAUGUGUAGCGGUGAAAUGCGUAGAGAUGUGGAGGAAUACCGGUGGCGAAGGCGGCCCCUGGACAAAGACUGACGCUCAUGUGCGAAAGCGUGGGGAGCAAACAGGGAUUAGAU